UUAGGUUAAGUUAUGAAGGGCGCACGGUGAAUGCCUUGGCACUAGGAGCCGAAGAAGGACGCGACGAACAGCGAAAUGCUUUGGGGAGCUGUAAGUAAGCUUUGAUCCAGAGAUCUCCGAA
rnacentral:rRNA from 1 species